AGAUCUCCUGAAUCUCAGUCCUGUGUACCUUCCACUAGUUCCCUUGGUACAGUGUCUGUACUGAGUAUGUGUUCAAUAAGGACCAUUGAUUGAUAGUUCUGUGCAAAUUUCAGUUUCUCUCUCAACUCCUUCCUCUUUCCUCUUCCAUUAUAGUUCCCAGAAGAGAAGGAAAAAUCUGAAAAUCAAUGCUCUCCUGUUAAAUUUCUCACUCAGAUAAUUGGUUUCCACUCUAUCCUUGGAUGUGAGAUUCCUGGAGGAGCAAUAAAGGCUGGCCCGUGAAAGCCGGGACUCUCUUCAGCAGUUAAAGGGCUGGUUUCAGUCGAAGCAAAUAAGAUCACACGUCCAAAAGGCCACUACUACACCGAAGCAAAAUUUUUAAGAUUCCGCUGGAGUCAUCUAAUCCCUUGAACCAGAGUGCAAGCCACACCGCUUCUCAUAUCAGUGCUACAUUCUGCUUUGAAUCUUCCAGAGAAAACAGUAGCCUUUUAGAUUUGGCUGUCCAACUCUAUCAUUGUGUUUGUGCAGAGAGAGAUGAUUCAGAAAGAAACCAG
rnacentral:lncRNA from 1 species